rnacentral:lncRNA from 1 species
AGGCUUUUCAGUCACAGCACCCUCUGUGACAAACGUGUGGAGCACCGCACGACUUCUUCAACCAGCUGGUUUUUCUGGCAUUCGAAUAAAAGUAAAAAUAGAAAACAAAGAGGGAGAAGAAAAGUGACAAGCUGAAACCUGCGAAGAGAAAGAGGACAAGAAAUGAACAAGUUGAUCUGGUCUUGAGGGAGGAGGAGGCACAGGAACACAGUAAAGGAACCUAUCUGAGGAGCUGCAGACAUGAACCAACAAAGCCAGAAGAGCCUGAAGCAAUACUGCAAGUGGGUGCUUUGGUACUGCUUUGAAGCAUCUUUCCAGACUCUGCAGUAGCCAAGGCCUGUGACUCCAGUCCCUGAGAAAGUACCAUCAGGAGCAAUACGUAAGCUUUUCAGGGACAAAGAACCUUGUCCUCUUAAUCUGGAUUCACAAUUCACAAUUAUACCCCUAGCCUGCCCAACGCCUUUUUCUCAGUCUCUGAGAAGUAUUGACUCUCUUUUACCUAAGAGCAGGAGUCU